rnacentral:misc_RNA from 1 species
UGAAAUGGACUUUGUAUGCAUCAAACAAAGAUAUGGAAAAUGAAUUCUACAUCUAGUGAAAUGGCUUUAUAUUCUCUAAAAUGACAACAAAAAAGCAAAAAUGAUAAAAAUAGUAGUUGUGCAUGUGUAGAACACACAGAUCUAAACAUCUAUAGUAGUUCAAUCCUCCUGUGAAUCCUUUCUGGUUAAAUUUGCUAACAUAAUAACUGAUAUCCUCUUCUGACAGCCAAGAAGGCAAACUCGGAGAAUCAGGUAAACCUCUGAAUCCUCUUUCUUUAGGUACACAAGGUGGAUUUGGAUUGCGAGAAGUAAGAAAUCUUCUUAUCACUUUGCAGUACCAGCUUGGGCUAAGUCAUCUUCAAUCUCUCCUGGUUCCUGAAACCUGCAGAUGCAGAAAUCAUUGCCUAAUAAUUUUCUGAAACUUUCCACAGGCUAAAUUUACAAGGGGGUUCCUGGGUGAGAAUAUGACGCUUGUGUUAACUAAGGCCUUGAUUCUAUCAGGUCUA